GAAACGGCUGCUAAUACCGCAUAAGCGCACAGUACCGCAUGGUACGGUGUGAAAAACUCCGGUGGUGUGGGAUGGACCCGCGUCUGAUUAGCUAGUUGGCAGGGUAACGGCCUACCAAGGCGACGAUCAGUAGCCGACCUGAGAGGGUGACCGGCCACAUUGGGACUGAGACACGGCCCAAACUCCUACGGGAGGCAGCAGUGGGGAAUAUUGCACAAUGGGGGAAACCCUGAUGCAGCGACGCCGCGUGAGCGAAGAAGUAUUUCGGUAUGUAAAGCUCUAUCAGCAGGGAAGAAGAAAUGACGGUACCUGACUAAGAAGCACCGGCUAAAUACGUGCCAGCAGCCGCGGUAAUACGUAUGGUGCAAGCGUUAUCCGGAUUUACUGGGUGUAAAGGGAGCGCAGGCGGGAGGCUAAGUCUGAUGUGAAAGCCCGGGGCUCAACCCCGGUACUGCAUUGGAAACUGGCCACCUAGAGUGUCGGAGGGGUAAGUGGAAUUCCUAGUGUAGCGGUGAAAUGCGUAGAUAUUAGGAGGAACACCAGUGGCGAAGGCGGCUUACUGGACGAUUACUGACGCUGAGGCUCGAAAGCGUGGGGAGCAAACAGGAUUAGAUACCCUGGUAGUCCACGCCGUAAACGAAGAAUGCUAGGUGUCGGGAGGCAUUGCCUUUCGGUGCC
rnacentral:rRNA from 1 species